AUGGCGCGGCGGGGCCACCACCUGACCGAGGUAGCCCUCCUCGCGUCCGCUUCGGGAUGCCUCGCGGCCGCGGGGGCCGGCGAGCGGGAGGGGUGGCUGGACGACCCCGCGGUGCUCCUCUCGCUCGGGCCCCGCGCGCGCGACCUCGCCGUGGCCAGCGCGGCGAGGUCCGUGCUGGGUAUCGUCCCGGUCGCGGGCGGCGGCGGGGUCACGGUGAAGCCCGCGCUGGGGCCCGACGACGGCCGGAUCUCCGCCGUCGAGUGGGUCCCGCUCGACGCGGAGGGGGCGCAAGGGGAGGAGGGAAUGGCCCUCGUGGUGGGCACCGACGCCGGCUGGCUCCUCUUCUACUCGCUCGCCGGCGAUCUCCUGCAUAAGCAGAGUAUAUAUCCUGCGAAGAUACUGAAGCUUAACUUCAGUGAGAGAAAGGAAAAUGCUUGGGAAGAUUCAGGUUCAGAUGAGCUUUCCGUGGUUUUCCCCGGUGUUAUUGCACGUUGUGAUGGUGCUGACCUUCAGAUCAUGCUUCAAAAAUCAUUUCAAGAAGUUAAAUCGCGCAUGUGGAAAGAUAAGUUUGAACAGGAAGAUGAUGAGGACACGAGUUCUUUUGAAAAGAUACCUCUUCAGAUUUGGAACGUAAGCAAGUUCAGCUCUUGUGUUGAUGCUGCAAUUGUUGGGCUAAUGCCACCUCCUCUGUUAGAACUUCAGUCGAGUCAGCGCCACUACUGUGCCAUUACAGUUGGAGAGGAUGCUGUCGUUUCAGCAUAUAGGUUAUCUGAAGACAGAAGCAGGUCAUUAGUUGGAGCAAUUUUGUCAAGAGGUGUAGCUGCAACAUUUUCGACAAUAUCAUCUUUGUCCAAAAUUCUGUGGCGGAGUGAACCAUCACCGACUAAGAAGUCACGGCCAAAGCCUCAAGCCUUUGCAAAAACAUCACCUCUCACAUGCUUGAAAGACUCACCAAGGAAGGGAGAACGACUUACACUCUCCCCAAGUGGUACAUUGGCUGCAAUAACUGAUUCUCUUGGACGAAUACUACUGCUGGACACUCGUGCCCUUGUGGCUGUGCGGUUAUGGAAGGGUUAUCGUGAUGCUUCUUGUCUUUUUGUGGAGAUGCUUCGUAACAAAGACAAGUCGUCAUCAAGCUCAAUGCACUUGGAUUAUACAAAGAGUGACUAUUGCUUGUGCCUAGCAAUCCAUGCCCCACGGAAAGGCAUAAUUGAGGUUUGGCAGAUGCGGACUGGGCCACGUCUCCUAACAAUCCCAUGCCCCAAGGGAAGCAGGAUCUUGCAGCCGUCGACGAGGUUCUCGUCGUCGUCGGCAUUCUCGUCGUAUACACCGUUGGAGGUUUACUUGUUCAAUGGAGACUCUGGGCAGUUGUCUGUCUUGAAUAGGCAUAUUGGAUGA
rnacentral:rRNA from 1 species